GACGAACGCUGGCGGCGUGCUUAACACAUGCAAGUCGAACGGGCCCGUCCCUGUUUUUGGGGGUGGGUUGAGUGGCGAACGGGUGAGUAUCACGUGAGUAACCUGCCCCCUGCUCCUGGAUAACUGCUUGAAAGGGCGGCUAAUACGGGGUGUGCCGGCUGGUCCGCAUGGGCCUGGUCGGGAUAGUUUCAUCUUCGGGUGUUUCGGUGGGGGAUGGGCUCGCGGCCUAUCAGCUUGUUGGUGGGGUGAUGGCCCACCAAGGCGGUGACGGGUAGCCGGCCUGAGAGGGUGGGCGGCCACACUGGGACUGAGACACGGCCCAGACUCCUGCGGGAGGCAGCAGUGGGGGGUAUUGCACAAUGGGCGGAAGCCUGAUGCAGCGACGUCGCGUGAGGGAUGGAGGCCUUCGGGUUGUGAACCUCUUUCUCCGGUGGUGAAGGCCCUGUCCGUUGCGGCGGGGUUGACGGUAGCCGGGUAUGAAGCGCCGGCUAACUACGUG
rnacentral:rRNA from 1 species